rnacentral:lncRNA from 1 species
AUGACCACCCAUCAACCCCUGCGUCUGAUUUGGAUAUGGGAGGGGGUAGAGGGUAGGACGCAGGACGUGGGAGGAGAGAGAGAAAAGUCAAGAGCAUUGGAUAUGAUUUCUCGUGCCAAAGUUGGAGCCCACAGCAGCCAAAGGAAAGCAGAAAUCUAAAUAUUCAGGAGUAAAGGAUACAUACAUGGAUUUUCACUGUGCAAAAAACACACUGGGGACUAAGAAUCUGCAUUCCAAUGAGCACCCCCAGCUAAUUUAAAUGUGAGUAGUCCUCAGACUCUGCCAUGUUGAACAAUGUGUUCUAGACCCUUGCUAGAAAGGGUAGUUCCUGUAUAAGUAACAAAAGCAUCACCUGGGCACUUAUUAGGAAUGCAGAAUCUCAGACUUUACAGCAGAUCCU